UGGAGGAGGCGGCGCGGCUCGGCGGUGGAGCUCGUCAGGGCUCGGCGGCUAUCGGCUUUGGUCGUCUGUGGUCGGCUGCAAGAAGGAAACGGUCGAAGGCGGUGGCACACGGCGGGGAGGCCACGGAAAAAGAUCGGCGCUCGGCAGCGGCGGCGGUGGCGAAGCAGAGACGGUGCGAUGCGGAGGGGGGGAAAGCUCGGCGGCACGACGGAGGCGGCGGUGGCGGCGACAGUGGCGGAAACCCCCUAGGGUUUUCCUUCGGCAGAAACAGAGGUAAGCAGUAUUUUUUUUUUGCGGGACACGUGCAGUUCACGUGAUCCUACGGAAUUUUUUUUUUGAACCUUUACGGGUUCGAGUUAUCGGGUUCGGAUUUUCGGUUGCAACCCGCUCCGAUAACCGUUAAGUCUAGCACGUGCAGAUCACGUGCAAUUUUUUUUUUUCUUUGACUCGUUGGACCCGGGUUAUCGGGUUGUAGGUAACGGGUUUAGGACUUACCCGUUACCUGGCUUCUUCUUCAACCUCCCGAUCGAUUCGGGAGGGCGAUCCGGUUGCUUCAGCGGCAGCCGCAGAAUGGCAACAGAGUUCACUGCCGCGGCUCCGUGGUCGGCGGCGACAGGCGGAGGCGGAAUGUGGCGGCGGGUGGAUUUUCCCUGUGCGCGGUGGUCGGCGGGUGCUUCGACGGGUCCGAGGGACAGGGCCGAAAGUAGGGCGGCGAUGCUCCUCUUCUUUGUGGCAGCAGGAUUCACUCGUGGCCCGUCGACACGCUCCGGUGUCCGUGGUCGGGGUACCGCAUAGAGCUCGUGCGCCAACCGGAAUCCGGGGAUCCGACGCUACUCCGCCAUGCACCGGCGGGGUUUUUCUAUGGAAGGAGAAGCGGCUGCCGACGGUGAAACAGGGGAGGUGGAACACGGCGAGGGUACCGCGGGUGAUGGUGAUGUCGGGCGCGAUGACGGGUGGACGGGGAAGACCAGCCGGGAGGGAUUUCUUCUUUUCCUUCUUUUUUUUUUUUUUGCUGUUUGCCUGUGACGCUUGAUCCCGGACGGCUACGGCUUAACUUCUGGGAGACUGCAGAAGAACCACCGGUGGUCUGGCGGGUGGUAGAGGUGUUCACGGGGGUGACGGCUGGUGGGAAGGGCCCGCAGACAGGGUUUCCCUUUGCCUCUAGUGAGAAUCGGGAGAGAGAAAUGGCUGGCUCGUGGCUUUGGCAGCAGGGGCAAAGCCGACGGCUCUGAUACCAAGUUGAUGCAGCCUCAAAUCGUGCAAUGUAAUCGGCAACGGUUGAAGUCCCUUAAGUUAGUUUCUGCCACCUAUCCAUAAGGCAUUGUCGGUAAGAGAAUGGCAGAUACUUCUCAUUCAGUUUUUCUUUCAUAUCCUCCCAGGUGGUGAUACGAGGAAGCCUUUAGGUCUCAUGCAUAUGUUCAACGUUAUGCCAGUACCAGUGAGCUUAUCCAAUAAGUUUCAUUUUAGCGAACCGUAUUUUUCUAUCAUCAGUCAUGUCGUACCACUCAAAAUAAUUAUCCAUGGCUGCUCUCCAAUCAAGGUACACGCUUGGCUCUAAUUGACCAGCAAAUGUGGGGGCAUCUACUCGAACGGUACGAAGUAGUCGCUCGUCAAGAUCGCACUGGUGAUCAGGAGGAAUUUGGUUCCUAGGGGGAUGGGAAAAAGCUACAGGUGGUGUGGCCAAACCAAGCUCGGGAUAAGCUGCGAUUGGGGUUGACGGUUCAGGAGUCCUAGGAUGUUGCACUAGAGCACGAAUCUCUUGUUUGAAUUCGUCUUGAUCAGCUCGUAAUGCAGCGAUUUGUUCCACAAGAUCUUGCAGAACUCUGGGGUCCAUGGUGGUUAAAGGGGUCUAGGAGUCAGUGAGGAGGUACUCUCUACCAUUACGGGUUGGCAUAAAGGGACUACCCUAAUUGGUGAUAUGAUAUUCAAUGCUACUAAUGAACCCUAACUUACCAAAUGCAAUGCAGGACAACCUACUAAUACAACCUACUAUGGAUUCGAAAAUUAGCAAAUUUUCACAAAAAUAACUUAAAAUUAAAUAUUACUAAUUUGUACUUUGGUUAUUUCAGAAUUAAGGUAGAAAAUUAGUCACUAUAAGAAAUUAGGUUGCAAACACGUAUUACGGUCGUUCUAAUCCUAAAGUAAUCUGAUCUAUGGAUGUUGAGAAAUAUCCUGUCGCUAGGGUGUGCUAAUUUAAUAUCUAGAUUUAGAGGGUGAAUAGGACGGGUGUGGUAAUAUAUGUUCUAGGUUUCAAAAUAUGACAGGAAAGUAAGUUCUCAAAAUAUGGCUAUCAUGCAAGAGAACUGAACACAAUUAGAUAAACAAGCCCAAAAAAAAGAAGAACCUGUCACCUGAGGUGAAUGCAGUCAACCAGAACCAUGUACUCGUGGGCUGGGGCGACAAUCGGGGUGCGGUUGCAGCCAAUGGACUCUCGAAAUGGCUCCAAUUGGAUCUGAUCACAUCAGGAGGAUUUGGGAGUUUGCCAUGUUUUCAUUCGGGGUCUGGUGCGAGACAGCGUCAUUUCUGCAGGUGGUCAUAUGGUGGGCGAUCACCCCACGAUCUAGGCAGGUGGCUACUGUGGCAACCUAUAUGGCACAUCAAAUCUGGCUAUUUAGGAAUGCUUGGAUGUUUUGUUAAAGCUUCCCCCAUUGAGGUUUGUUGCCGAGAGAGCCUGGAGCCAAGCAGUUGAGAUUAUUCAAUCACAUAUAUUGGAUGGACCCUUAACAUCUCAGGACACUUGGAGCUCCUCUCUUGCUCAUGGAGCGUCUCGCAUAGUAUUCUUCACCUAGGAGCCCCCACCUCCGAGUUUGCUCAAGAUCAAUUUUGACAUAUGUGUACUAGACGGUGGAAACAGGGGAAGCGCUGGCUUCACCAUCAAGGGUUCGGACUCUAGGGUGAUUGCGGCUGGUGGUUUUCAGAUCUUCUACAUCUCUGUUCUGAGGGUGGAGUUGAGGACAGCUUGGACCAGCUUGAAUUAUACUUGGUGCGUGUUGCAAGCCAAUGCUAUAGUACUUGAGGGCGAUUCGGCUAUAGUUGUUGGCUGGAUCUAGUAGAGUGUUGGAGGAGUGGGCGAUUACCAUCCGCUGCUUAGGGAUAUCUAAGCUAUGGUGAGGGGUGCGAUAGCCUUGCAGGCUAAGCAUGUAUAUCGAGAAACCAACGGGGCAACGAAUUGGGUAGCCUCUUAUGUGGCUAACCAUUCUGAAGAGACCCUUUGGCUGGGAGAGAGGGGAUUAUCUGGUGCGCUCCGAGAUUUGUUACUCUUUGACUUUUUUGGGUAUGUUUGUACCUGCUAUGUAUGAUACAUAUGUCUCAGGAAAAAAAAAUUGAUGCUUGUGGUCUAUCCAUUUUGUAUAUGUGUUUUUGUGUGUGUGCAAGAGAGAGAGAGAAAGAGUUGCCUAAACAUCUAUUUUGUCUUAACACUAGGGAUAAUCAUGUUCAACUAUGUCUUUCUUUGAGAACUGCAUGACGUUCCAACUAAACUGAAAAAAAUGAAAUAGUUCUUUUUUAUGGGAUCCAUUCAUCCAACUAGUCUCAUAGAUUCCUUAAUUCAACUAGUCAUGGAUUACUUAGUUUUAGAGAUUCUAAAUAUAGUUGCUUUUUCAGGUGUUUUAGAUUUUAUAAAUCACAUGCAGAAGUAUGACUUUCUUUAACAACCAUUAUACUCCCAUAUGGUAGUAGGUGAAAAAUACGAAGUUACACAUACAACCAAAUCAAAGCAAGAUUUGCAAAACAAAAGUCUAAGCCAUGAUUUAGAAUAGGAAGAUUGGUGGACCCCUACUAAUACCAUGACUAGAUCUUGCCAUAUGCAAAAUAUAUGACUAAAAAAAUAUGCUCGUGAUCUAUCCAUGUGAUGAGAGAGAGAAUUGCCUAAGAUCUACUUUGUAUCGACAACAAGGAUAAUUGUGCUCAACAUUUUUAUUCAGGAACUACCUAAGAUUCCAACUAAACUGAAAAAUAUGAAAUAUUUUUUUCAUACGGUGGGCGAUCACCCCACGAUCUAGGUAGGUGGCUACUGUGGCGACCUAUAUGGCGCAUCAGAUCUUGCUAUUAGGAAUGCUUGGAUGUUUUGUGAGAGCUUCCCCAACCGAGGUUUGUUGUCGAGAGAGCCUGGAGCUAGGCAGUUGAGAUUAUUCAAUCACAUAUAUUGGAUGGACCCUUGACAGCUCGGGACACCUGAAGCUUCUCUCUUGCUCGUGGAGCAUCUCGCAUGGUAUUCUUCACCUGGGAGCCCCCACCUCCAAGUUUACUCAAGAUCAAUUUUGACAUAUGUGUACAAGACGGUGGAAGCAGGAGAGGCGCUGGCUUCACCAUCAGGAGUUCGGACUCUAGGAUGAUUACGGCUAGUAGUUGCCAGAUCUUUGACAUCUCUAUUUCGAGGGCGGAGUUGAGGGCAACUUGGACCAGCUUAAGCUAUGCUUGAUGCGUGGUGCAAGCCAAUGCUAUAGUGCUUGAGGGCAAUUUGGCUACAGUUGUUCGUUGGAUCCAACAGAGUGUAGGAGGGGUGGGCUAUUACCAUCCGCUGCUUAGAGAUAUCCAAGCUAUGGUGAGAGGUGGGAUAGCCUUGCAGGCUAAGCAUGUGUAUCAAAAAACCAACGAGGCAGCAAAUUGGGUAGCCUCUUAUGUGGCUAACCAUUCUGGAAAGACUCUUUGGCAGGGAGAAAGGGGAUUAUCUACUGCGUUCUGAAACUUGUUAUUUUUUGACUUUUUUGGGUAUAUUCGUACCUGCUAUGUAUAAUACAUUUGUCAGCAAAAAAACAAAAAACAAAAAACGAAAAACAAAAUUGAUGCUUGUGGUCUAUCCAUUUUGUGUAUGUGUGUGUGUGUGUGUGUAUGUGUGUGUGUGAGAGAGAGAGAAGAGAGUUGCCUAAACAUCUAUUUUGUCUUAACACUGGGGAUAAUCAUGUUCAACCAUGUCUUUCUUUGAGAACUGCAUGACGUUCCAACUAAACUGAAAAAAUGAAAUAGUUCUUUUUUAUGGGAUCCAUUCAUUCAACUAGUCUCAUAGAUUCCUUAAUUCAACUAGUCAUCGAUUACUUAGUUUUAGAGAUAUAGUUGCUUUUUCAGGUGUUUUAGAUUUUAUAAAUCACAUGCAGAAGUAUGACAUUCUUUAACAACCAUUAUACUUCCAUAUUGUAGUAGGUGAAAAAUAUGAAGUUAGCCACCAAGGUGGUAGCACAGAUGGAAUGGGGCUUUGUUUCCACUUGGGUGGCCCAGGUUCGAAACGCGCAGGCAUCGAUUAAAUUUAGGGACUGGAUGCCCGACGCCUAGAUGCUUUCGGUGGAAGCACUACUGGUCCGCUGAUACCGAGAUAGCGCUGGGAUGACGUACUCACACGUAAGUGAGAAACCUAGUGGGGGGAAUCCACGGGUCGGAGAGGGUAUGCGGAAACUUGCGGCCUGCAUCGAACAUUCUCUAGUGGAAGAGGGGCUUAGUGGAGGCUGCUACGCAGGUGAGGUCUUCUUCCCCCCUCCUAUUAUUGACAAAAAAAAAAAAGGAAGUUACACAUACAACCAAAUCAAAGCAAGAUUUGCAAAACAAAAGUCUAAGCCAUGAUUUAGAAUAGGAAGAUUGGUGGACCCCUACUAAUACAAUGACUAGAUCUUGCCAUAUGCAAACUAUAUGAUUAAAACAAUAUGCUCGUGAUCUAUCCAUGUGAUGAGAGAGAGAAUUGCCCAAGAUCUACUUUGUAUCGACAACAGGGAUAAUUGUGCUCAAAAUUUUUAUUCGGAAACUACCUAAGAUUCCAACUAAACUGAAAAAGAUGAAAUAUUUUUUUUAUUGUCUCAAUUGAAGAAAUGACCUUUCAAUAUGGAGGGACUCAUUCAUUUAACUAGUGCUAUAGAUUACUAAAUUUAAUUAGCAUCUGUGAUUGACGUGGUGCACCACCAUAUGAUGCACCACGCCAAUCAUAGAUGUCUUUUACUAUGGGUAAGAAGCACAGUAACAUUUCUAUUUAUUUUAUUUCAUGGACUGGUAGUUGUAGCCAUUGGGCCUGUAGUAACCAACUUGACCGUGCUCUUGAAAGUUGCAACCAAAGCAGGCUUUAUCAUCCAUUAGAGCACUAACAUGCGUCAGCAAUUUAUUUUAUAUAUUUUAAAGGUGCUAUUAUAGAUUUUAAGUCCACCAUGCGCUGAACUUUUAUUUUUAUUUUUACUUUUUUUUAAGAUGCUCAUGAGAGGCUCCAGAGUCUAAUAUGCAGAAUUUUCCAUUAUAUGAAGAGUAGAUUUUUAUUUUUUUUCCUAGGCUUAAUGCUUUCAUAUUGCUUUAAGUAUGAGCUCGGCCAUGUUCAUUAAUCAGCCGACCUAACCUGGAGGCUCAGACUUUGGCCCAGCCUACAGCUGGAGUGAGGCUCAAAGGCCUAUCCUAUCUUUCUUUGAGCAAAACCCCUAUUCGAGACGGAGAUAGACUUGAUCUCCAAGUCCGAUGAGGAUGCCAGCUAUAUAGCCUCCCCACUUGUCCACUAAGACCUCAUUGAACCCAUUGCCUCCUCUCCUUUCUUCUUCAUCUUCUUCUCUCCUCUUCAUCGAGUAUUGCUACUAUCAGCCAUCGUCACUAUGCUUAUGGUCGAUCCUCAUUGGAAACAAGGUAUGAAACACCCUCAACCCAUAUAUAUCUUCUCUCCCGAUCUACCCCUUUCUCCAUUUAUCUGCCGCCAACCAAAUUUUGUUGAGGAAUCCAAGGAAAUUAAGUUAAGAUCCUCUUCCUUGUUUCGCUAAUUACUGAACUCGCCCUUGCUUUUAUCAAAUUUCAAGAUAGAAUCUGAUUAGAGCUUAGUCAACCAUCAAUGUCCUUCCUUCGGCCAUCUCCUUUUACUGACAAGCAGGCUAGAGCCCGGAUAGAUCCCAUCAAUGUAUCCCCUUUAUUCUUUGAUUUUCUCUAUUUUCUCAAUGCUUUAAAUUUCUCUAUUUUUCUAGCCUCCUACUGGCUAUCUAUUGCCAUCAAUUUUCUCUAGUCACUAGCCAUGACAACUGGUGCCACCACUAACCACUGUCGGUCCUUCUUCCCUCUUCCAUUAAAAGGUGGUGAAGCCCUUGGUUGCCCUCUCUUUCUUGUUCUCUCUCCCCUUUACUCUUUCUUCUUCUCUCUUUCUCUAUCUUCUUCUCUCUCUCUUUGAUAUUGGGUGGAUCUUAGAGGGUCUCUUCCUUGUAACCUUAAUCAAUACUGGGAAAGAGAUCCUAAACCAUCUUGGUAGCCGCACAAUAUAUCGGUCUAUACCUCAUCCCUUAUCGAGCACUACUGGACUCUAUCAUCAUUAAUCUAGUAGUGUUAUCCGUACUCUGAUCUGAUUCUUGUUCUGUAAUUUAGUUUGUUGGGUUACUAGAUUGAAACAACCCGAGUCAUUGGACGCUAUCACCUGUCGACCCUAUCCUUUCUCCUUUUCUUCAUGUUUAUCCACCAUUGGCCCAUUUUCCAUCAUAAUAUUGUCUAAUUAGUGGGCUUAAUCUUGUAGGGGAUGCAAAGACAUAGAAUUUUAUUUUAAUUAUAUUUUGAUAAAAAUAUAAUUUUGGAUAUUUGGUUUUCUAAAAAAAUUUUAGAAUUAGUUGGAUUUGUCUGUUAGCUGUUCUCACAAGCUAAGUAAUAAUCCAUGUUUUCUAUGUUUUUCAAUUAAAUAAUAUUAUGGUGAUAUUAAAUAAAUUGUAAAUUAAUUUACAUGUGAUUUAUGAAAUUAAAUUUUGACUGAAAAAUAAAUGUUUAAUUUGUGUGUAAUAUUUUGCGGAAUAUUACGAUGUUGUUUGUUGGUGGAAUAUGCAUACUUUGAUUGAAAUAUAAUAUAAAUGCUAUUUUGUAAAUAGAGCUUUGAUGCAUAUCAAAUUUGGAACAGAUAGACUAUAUUUCGAUACCCUAUCAAUAAGGACUGUAUAUUGGUACAUUGACAUCUUUCUAGUAGAGAUUAUAUAUUUGCAUAUCAAUAACCUAUUAGUAAGGCUAUAUCUUGGCACAUUGUUAUCCUACAAGUCGAAGCUAUACCUUGACAUAUUGAUACCUAGCCAAUAAGGGCUAUAUCUUGGCACAUCAACAACCUGCCAGUGGGACUAUACCUUGGCACAUCGAUACCUUAGUUAGUCGGUGCUAUACCUUGGCACAUCAAUACCCCCUAGCUAGUAGGUGCUAUACCUUGGCAUAUAGAUACCGUGCCAUUGGGGCUUAUGUGAGGCCCGGUAUUUUUGGAUUUGCUUGCUCCAAAAUAACCUAGCCCAAAGGUUGCGCAACAUGUGCUCUAUACGUGCUAGACAACAACAGACUCCCGAUGGGAGUCUACUUCUGUCAACAACUUCUGGUGGGAGUCUGCUUUUGUCGACCACUUCUGGUGGAAGUUGGAGUUGUGGAAACCACCAGAGGCUAGGAAACCCUAGCUUCCACUCUAUAAAGCCCUCCCCUUCCUUUAAAGUACAAUCCACUGUAGCCCUCUGCCAACACCUUCUCUUUCUCUCCUUCUUCCUCUUGAGCAUCAUCUGCCACCACCACUGCGUUGGCCAUGAAACUCACUAGACAAGGUAAAAUUCUUGAUUUCCCUUUUUCCUCACCUUUCACAGCCCUAAGACUGUUGUCAUUGACUAAUUAGAGCCAACAGAUCACCGAAUUGUAGUCUCCAUGGAGCAUGGUGUAGAUAAAAUUAAUUUGGAUCUAGUGGAGUCACCACUCCCAUUUCCAUCCACCCCAAAAGAUGUAGCAACAACUAUUGCUCAUCAUAUUGGACCAUAGGAUAGGGUUGCAGAGCAUUCUAGAGAAGAUGAGGAUUUAAUAAAUGUGCAUAUAAGAUGUUGGGGGGGCGAAGUCCAGCCCCAUGCUCGGCAAGUUUGCUUUGAGCUAAGACUCAAGGAUCUAGGAUGUCUUUUAGCACUCAAGGAUGUCUCGGAUACAAAGAGCAUGAUGUCAGGGAUCCAAUGGUGCAAACGACAUUGAAAUCGGAGCUACAUACAAGCGGUUACGUGCUGCUGAAGAGGCUGAGGCUGCAGAAAUUCGAGAACAGAAAUCCGAGGCCUACCCGAGGAAGCAGAAUUUGACUAGGAGAGUCUUUUCUGAGUAUGUUUUUUGGUGAGGGUAUUUUCCUUUGAAGUGAAAAUGUAUAAAUAGGUCUUUUUGGGAGACCUAGGGUGAUGUGAAGAGUGUGAGAGAGACUUGAAGUUUUUUUUGGGAGGCGGCGGCUCUUUCAAAGAAGAUGAAUAGAUCUCUCCAGGAGUUAAGUCGGCGUUCUGGGGGUAAUUGGCUGUUCUUCCAAGAAGACGAAUAGAUCUCUCUGGGCAGUGUUCCAGAUUUGUGGACGUAGCCAAGUUUGGUGAACCACGUAAAAUUCUUGUGUUCUCUCUGUGAUUGUUUUUCCUUUGGUUUUUUUUGUUUGGUCUGUGUUUGCAUCUCGUGAUCCACUCUCCAAUGUUUUUUUUGGGGUGGAAUCUGUAUUUUCUGUGUGUUCGGUCGUUGAUCCGGACUCAUCAUUUUUUUUAGAGUGCUUGAUACCCUUCAAGUGGUAUCAGAGUUUUGGCAGAUUCCCUUUCAAUUGGCAUCAGAGCCUAAGGUUCAAAUGAUUGGAGAACCAGUUAUUGUCUUAUACUGGAUCUAGAUCUCGAGAUGGAUGCUGGAAAAAAUAACAAGGAUAUAGGGAUGUUUUGUUUCACCGGCAUGAACUCAUGGCUGAUUUGGAAGGAGAAGAUGGAGGAUAUACUCUACUGCAUGGAUCUGUAUCAUCCUAUCCUGAGAGAUAGUGAUGUUAAGGAUAAUAUCGAUUCUAAAUAGUGGAGGGUGUUGAAUCGGAAGACCUGCGGGAUGAUCCGAAAAUGGCUCGAUGUGGGCAUAUGUCCUCAUGUUUCAGGAAUCACUUCGGCAUAUGAGAUGUGGCAGAAGCUACACGAAAGGUACGAGCGGAAGACCGUGGAAAACAAGACUCUGUUGAUUCGCAAGCUUGUGAACUUGAAGUACAGAGAUGGAUCUUCAAUGGCAGAACACUUGAAUGCCUUCCAGAGUAUCGUAAACCAGUUGGCAAUCAUGAAAACAACGUUUGAGGAGGAAGUUCAAGCUAGCUUGUUGCUAAGUUCUCUCCCAAGUAGUUGAGAUACCUUGGUGGUAUCAAUCAGCAACUCGACUCCAGAUGGAAGUUUGACGGUACCAGUUGUACACAGUGUCUUGCUCAAUGAAGAAUCUCGAAGGAUGGCUAACGGUGAGGAGCAUCCGCAAGCCCUAGUGAACGAGGAAUGUGGAAGAAGUCAGAGACGGAAGCCCCAUAGUAGAGGGAAGUUUAAGGCUCGGUCCAAGUCGAAAUGAAAGUCCAAGUAUCAGUGCUGGUAUUGUAAUCAGGAUGGCCAUAUGAAGAAGAACUGUUAUGAAUUCAAAAAGGACUUGAAGGAGGGGAAGGUGAAGCAGAAGGAUGAAGGCACAUCAGCAGCUGUUGCAGGGGAUGACGGCAUUGUAGUCUUUGUAGAAGAAUCAGAGUGCCUUCAUACCUCAGGCGACAAGGUCGAAUGGGUGGUAGACACCGCAGCAUCAUAUCAUGUAACUCCGAGAAAGGAUUUCUUCACAAGCUAUAGAACCGGUGACUUCGGUAAUGUCAGGAUGGGAAAUAGCAGUGUGGCGAAAAUCUCUAGGAUUGGUGAUAUAUGCAUGAAGACCGAUGUUGGCUGCACCUUAGUUCUGAAGGAUGUCAGACAUGUCCCCGAUCUCGAUCUAAACUUGAUUUCAGGGUUGGCUCUUGAUAAAGAUGGCUAUGUGAGUAUGUUUGGGCAGGGUGCAUGGAAGCUAAGCAAAGGCUCUAUGAUAGUGGCUAGAGGCAAAGCAUGUUGUACCUUGUACAAGACAUAUGUGGAGAUAGUAGCUCAGGAUGCGUCAGUAAAUGCACUUGAAGCUACUCCUGAAUUAUGGCACCAGAGACUUGGCCACAUGAGCGAGAAGGGGAUGAAAUUACUCUGUCAGAAGAACUCUAUUCUUUUGAAUGCUGGAUCGAUGGCGUUUCGCUCUUGUGAGGCAUGCUUGGCAGGAAAGCAACAUAGAGUGUUCUUCACAGAACACUCAGAGAGGAAGAAGGAGCUCUUGGAGCUUGUCCAUACUGAUGUAUGCGGGCCACUCGAUGUUCCUACACUCGGUGGGCGCCGCAACUUCCUCACUUUCAUCGAUGAUUCAUCACGAAAGGUAUGGGUUUAUAUUUUGAAGAACAAGUUUGAUGUAUUUGAAGCCUUUUGCAAGUUUCAUGUGAAAGUAGAGCGUGAAACUGAGAAGAAACUCAAGUGUCUCCGUAGUGAUAAUGGAGGAAAAUAUAUUUUCCAUGAGUUCGAGAGCUACUGUGCUCAGUAUGGCAUCAGGCAUGAGAAGACUGUUCCCCGCACCCCUCAACACAACGGGUUGGAGGAGAGGAUGAACCGCACAUUGAUGGAGAAAGCUCGGGCGAUGCUAUUCAGGUCAAAGCUUCUAAAGACUUUUUGGGAGGAGGCAGUGCUGACUGCUUCCUAUAUUGUCAACCGGUCUCCCUCAGUUGCUUUGAAGGGGGAUAUUCCAUAGUGUAUUUGGUUGAAGAUGGAGGUUUCCUAUGCCCAUCUUAAAGACUUUGGCUGCAAAGCAUAUGUGCAUGUCCCAAAGGAGAACAGGUCAAAACUUGAUGAUCGAGGCACACCGUGCGUGUUUGUAGGCUAUGGGGAUGAAGAAUUCGGCCACCGCUUGUACGACCCCAAAGCCAAGAAAAUUGUGAGAAGUCGGGAUGUAGUGUUCUUUGAAGACGAGACUAUCGCCGACAUCCAGAAGAAUAUGAAGCCAAAUACUAGUAGAAGUUCACAUGAUGAAGAUAUCUCCGUCUCCUCCCCACAACUUCCAGAGGGGGGAGAAGGAGAGGCUAAUGAAGAACCAGUGGUCGGGGAUCCAGCUGGUGGUUAUGAAGCUCCGAUACGUGAUAAAUCUACCGGGCAGGAUACAGAGCUCUCACCUCCAAAAAUGCCUCAACUCCAGAGGUCCACUAGAGUGCCUAUACCAUCAAGAAAGUAUAAUUCAGAGGAUUAUGCUUUGCUUACAGAAGAGGGGCAGCCAGAGAACUUCGAAGAGGCUCUUUGUGAUAAAGAGAAGAAAAAAUGGCUGAAGGCCAUGGAAGAAGAAAUGGAUUCUUUGAAGAAGAAUAACACUUAUGAGAUUGUCAAGGCUCCUAAGGGAAAGAGAGUUUUGCACAACAAGUGGGUAUUCAAGCUCAAACGGGACAGUACCGGAGAAGUUGCGAAGUACAAGGCGCGACUUGUGGUCAAAGAUUUUGAGCAGAAAGAAGGUAUUGAUUUCACCGAGAUCUUUUCUCCAGUGGUGAAGAUGAAAUCAAUCCGGGUGGUAUUGGCGAUGGCGGCUUGGAUGGACUUAGAGAUUGAGCAACUCGAUGUCAAGAUCGCAUUUCUUCACGGGGAGCUUGAGGAGGAGAUCUAUAUGAAGCAACCAGAGGGCUUCGAGGUGAAAGGCAAAGAACAUAUGGUUUGCAGGUUGAAGAAGAGCUUGUACGGCCUGAAGCAAGCUCCUCGACAAUGGUACAAAAGGUUUGAUUCCUUUAUGAUGAGUCAGGGAUACACUCGUACAGCUGCAGAUCAUUGUGUCUAUCGAAGGAGUUUUACCGGUGGGAGAUUCAUAGUGCUUCUACUUUAUGUGGACGACAUGUUGAUCGUUGGCCAGGAUGCAGAUUUGAUCAAGGCAUUGAAAAGAGAUUUAUUCAAAGCCUUUGACAUGAAGGACUUGGGUUCAGCUCAGCACAUUCUUGGCAUGAAGAUCGAGAGAGAUCGGAAGGGUAGAAGACUAUGGUUGUCUCAGAGUACUUAUGUUGAUAAGAUACUUGAAAGAUUUGGUAUGAAGAAUGCAAAACCGGUAAGUACUCCUCUGGCAGGUCACUUUAAACUUUGUUCCAGUAUGCCACUGGAUUCAGAGGAAGGCUGAAAAGAGAUGUUGUCAAUUCCAUAUGCCUCAACCGUGGGGAGCCUUAUGUAUGCCAUGGUGUGCACUAGGCUAGAUAUUGCUCAUGUCGUGGGCGUGGUGAGCAAGUAUAUGGCAAAUACAGGCAGAGAUCACUGGGAGGCUGUGAAGUGGAUACUUCGAUACUUGAGGGGGACUUCAGAUCUCAAAUUGUGCUUUGGCAGUGACAAUCCAAUUUUACAAGGAUUUACAGAUGCGGACAUGGCAGGUGAUCUUGAUAGGAAGCGGUCGACUUCUGGUUAUGUUUUCACUUUGUCAGGGGGAGCUGUGUCAUGACAGUCGAAAUUGCAGAAGUGUGUGGCACUAUCUACAACCGAGGUUGAGUAUAUUGCCGUGAAUGAGGCCGGCAAGGAACUUCUCUGGUUGAAGAGAUUUCUUCUUGAAUUGGAGAUAAAGCAGGAGACUUUUUUGUCGCAUUGUGAUGUUCAAAGUGCAAUUGAUCUAUGCAAGAACCCCACGUACCACCCAAAGACCAAGCAUAUAGCAAUCAGGUAUCACUGGAUCCGAGAAGUGCUUGAAGAGGGGGAGAUGAUUAUCAAGAAAAUUGACAUAAGUAAAAAUCCGGCAGAUAUGACUACUAAGAUGGUAACUCAAGAGAAGCGUGAGUUCUGUUCUAAGCUCGUGGGCAUGGCUUGAAGAAGGCGUGCAGUGGGUCUCUUCCUCCCAUGAGUCUAGAGGGGGAGAUUGUUGGGGGGGGCGAAGUCCAGCCCCAUGCUCGGCAAGUUUGCUUUGAGCUAAGACUCAAGGAUCUAGGAUGUCUUUCAGCACUCAAGGAUGUCUCGGAUACAAAGAGCAUGACGUCAGGGAUCCAAUGGCGCAAACGGCAUUGAAAUUGGAGCUACGUACAAGCGGUUACGUGCUGCUGAAGAGGCCGAGGCUGCAGAAAUCUGAGACCAGAAAUCCGAGGCCGACCGCAGGAAGCAGAAUUUGACCAGGAGUGUCUUUUCUGUGUCUGUUUUUUGGUGAGGGUAUUUUCCUUUGAAGUGAAAAUGUAUAAAUAGGUCUUUUUGGGAGACCUAGGGUGAUGUGAAGAGCGUGAGAGAGACUUGAAGUUUUUUUUUGGGAGGCGGCGGCUCUUCCAAAGAAGAUGAAUAGUCUCUUCAGGAAUUAAGCCGACGUUCUGGGGGUAAGUGGCUGUUCUUCCAAGAAGACGAAUAGAUCUCUCUGGGCAGUGUUCCAGAUUUGUGGACAUAGCCCAGUUUGGUGAACCACGUAAAAUCCUUGUGUUCUCUCUGUGAUUGUUUUUCCUUUGGUUUUUUUUGUUUGGUCUGUGUUUGCAUCUCGUGAUCCACUCUCCAACGUUUUUUUUUGGGGUGGAAUCUGUAUUUUCUGUGUGUUCGGUCGUUGAUCCGGACUCAUUGUUUUUUUUAAAGUGCGUGAUACCCUUCAAGUGGUAUCAGAGUUUUGGCAGAUUCCCUUUCAUAAGAGUGGGAGGACAUGGGGUAACACAUGAAUAGAGAAGAAGGCCUUGUAAAAGGCCUUUAGAAAAAGUGCAAGAAGAUAGUUGCAUUGGUAGUGGCAGUACUUGUCCUUGAGUAACUUCAAGGAAAGUGAUAAGAAGGACCAUGAACUCUUUGAGUAUUGUAUUGAUGACUCUAUUACUAAGAGAGGUCCACAAGCAGUAUAAAGAAGAUAUUAGGGAAGAAACUUGAGAAGCAGAUGAGUUAAUUGGUAGGGAAUCUGAGUUACUUGAUAGUGAUGAGGUUAGAAUCUUGUGUAGCUCUUCAAAAGGAGAAGCUUUAGAGCAAUCUAGGGUUCCUGUUCAAUGAGAAAACUAAUUUUAGCAAGCCUAUAGAGCUGAAGCUUAGCAUUUUUUUUCGUUCAUAUAUUUAGAAAUGCACUGAGGCAAUACUCUAUAUAGGAGGGUUUUGAUUAUGUUUACAAACACAAUGAGAGGGACAGAGUCACCAUAGUGUGCAAGAAGAGCUGCAGAUGGAGGAUUCAUGCCUCUCCCCUCUAGAGAAUAGAGAUAUAUCAAAUAAAGAAACAUGAGCCUACUCAUAAAUAUGGUAGGCAUUUUGAGAACCAUAAUGUGAACUCCAGAUGGCGAUCUCAGAAAUAUAUAGAGGAUAUCAAGUCUAUUGCCAACUAGAGUGUGAAGAAAGAAGUCAAAGAAAACACUUCUAAAGCCCAAGCAUAUAGGAUAAGAAAAAGGCACUUAAAUCCAUUCAUGGGUCAUGCGACGAGUAGUAUGGGAAGCUCUGGGAGUACUAUGACAUCAUCAAGAAGAUAAACCAAGGUAGCACCAUAUUCAUGGGAACCUUGCCUCGGGAAGGCGAGCAUCCCAUCUUUUAGAGAUUGCGUGUUUGCAUUGAUGCAUGCAGGAGGUGGUUCAUACAUGGAUGUAGACCCAUUAUAGGCUUGGAGGGGUGCUACUUGAAGUGUGCCAUGGGAGGCAGCUGCUGGCAGCUAUGAAGUACUAACUUUGUUUGUUUGUUGUGUAAUAUUUUUUACAGGGGUUAGUGGAGGCCUUAAACUCCAUCAUGCCAAAUGCUGAUCACAAGUCUUGUGUGAGGCAUUUACAUGUGAACUUUAGAAAGCUAUGAAAAGAUAAAAACUUUAAAGAUGCACUGUAUGCGACAACAAGGACUUGCAUUACCCCUGAGUUUCAAGUUAAAAUGAAAGUUGUCGCUGAUUUGGACUCAAAAGUUGCUGAAUGGUUGCUUAGACAAGAUUUAUCUGUGGCGUAGACAUGCAUUCAGAACUAGACAACGGUGUGAGGCUUAAUUGUACUCCUUAGCAUAUUGGCCUCACAAAUCAUAUUGUACUAACUUUUAUUAGUUUCUUGUGUAAUUCUUUUAUUGGUGGGUUAUGAUGUUGAACAACAUAUACUACAAGAAACUUGGACAUUAGCGAUGCUUUUUUUGGCUAUUAGCGACGCUUAAAAGCGUCGGUAGAAACCAUCCCGACGCUUUCCAAAGCGUCGGUAAAGCGUCGCCUAUGCUACAGUAGAAAAAAUAUUUUCCGACGUUUUUAAAAGCGUCGCUAAUUCCAAUUUAGCGACGCUUUAAAGCGUCGCUCUUCCCCGACGCUUUAAAGCGUCGCGAAUUUCCGACGCUUUAAAGCGUCGCGAAUUCCCAUUUGCAAAAUAAAAUUACCAUUUGCGGUCUGCAUCUUCUCCUCCAUUCAGAAAUACAAACAACCUUCCCGAUCGGUACCUUCAUUCCAUCCGUGCAGAGUGGUUAGAUUUGGCUAUAUAAACAAUUUUUUUUUUCAAAUCCGCCGAUGUGGGACUAAAAUAAGAUGAUUUUUUGGCUUCCGACGAUGCUUUUAACGACGUUUUUAAGCGUCGUUAUUUAACAACGCUAAAAAGCGUCGUUAAAAGUGUCGUCAAUUAUAUAUUAACUUCGACGACGCUUAUAAGCGUCGUCAUUAGCCGACGCUUUUAAAAAGCGUCGGCAAAUGUUGACGGAAAUUUUUUUUUUUUGUGUAGUAUAUGUGAAUAUUUCAAUAGUUAUAUCAUGGAAGCUAGGGUCAAACCUAUUAUAACUUUAUUGAAGACUAUAAAAAGGCUUCUUAUGCAACGCUUCCAGGAUAAGGGACAAGCUUUGCAGAGGUAAGGGGUCCAAUAUGUCCUAAAAUCCAGAAGUAGAGCUAGUUAAGCUGCAUGCCAUGGAUUGCCACGUUACAUGGGGUGAUGGGGGAAGUUUCGAGGUUGGUCAUCUAGAUGGCACUUUUGUAGUUUACUUAGAGAGGAGAUUCUAAGGGUGUUGAAAGUAUGAUCUCACCAGAAUCCCCUAUUAUCAUGCAGCUAGAGCUAUCAUACUUUCAAGGAGAUAGAGCAUUUUGUAGGCCAUUGAUACUCCAGAGAUAUAUUCUUCAAAGCCUAUAAGCUAGUUAUUAAACAUGUGCCUGGUUUUCAGUUUUAGGAACCUCACACUAGUACCUGCACCCCCACGGAGGAGAUCACCUGGUAGGCCAAAAAAGUGGAGAAGAAGCGAGAAGGAUAAUGUGUUGGAUCUACAUAAAAUCAGAAGAAGUUGCUCCUCUCGUAGUGGGGACACAAUGCUAGAACAUGCAAAGAUCCUAUGAAAAAUAGGCCUCCUAGAAAAUAAGUGGCCGAAAAGGGAGAAAGUUCCUCGAGCUGAAAAGCCAAGGCAACUCAUGGGUUAAAAAAAGGGUAAGGUCUAGAAAAAAAAAGGAGAGGGGAUAGCUCGUCAAAAGGUAAGCAAUGCUCCACCCUUUUAAGUGUUUGGUUUCUAAAAAAUAUGGACACAAUUUGCAAUUUCAGGUGGCACACUUUGAAUAAUAAUCUAGCACAUCAAAUGAACUUGAGGUACAUUGAAGCAUAUUUAAUUGCAUAUUGUACCAUGUUUACAUAAAAAAACAUAUUGUGUCCGUUUACUUGCAUAUUGUGCCAUUAUUAUUUACAUAUUUACUUGCUUGGACUUGUAUUUCUUUAUGAUCAAUGUGUAUAUAUCUUGCAUAUUGUACCAUGUUUACUUAUGUUUGAGUUCUUGGGCUGCAGAAAAUCCAAGUGUGCCACGUAGCAGCAUAUUGGAAGCACCCUAAUGAGACAAUUUGAGAUUGUUAGCUGAGAUAUCCAAGAUACACAUGGAGGCGGAAACAUUUUAUAAUAAUAAGUCCAUUACAUAGAGCAGUAGCCGCAUCUAGAAUCAGUAGAGUAACAGGCAGCCCAAGCAGUACCAGUAGUAGCCCAAGCAGCACUAGAAAUAUAAACAACACUACAAGCAGCAGCAACAUCAGCACCACCACCAGCAGUAGCAGCAACAUUAGCACCAGCAGCAAAAGCAGCAUCCUCAAGAAGUUAGACUUAAUCCUCUCAAAGGCCUCAUGGAGGAUUUGGCACUCUUUUAUACUAUUUUGCUAUCAUUUUAUAUAGUUGAAUGGCACUGUUUGUGACGCCAAUUGAUAUCAUUUGAUACAAUUUAUGAUACUUUUGGUAUAUGACACAAUUGAAUGUAAUGGUGAAUGUGACACUUUCAUGUAAUAGUGAAUGAGAAAUAUGAUUCUUUUAUUUCAGUUAUUUGUCAAUGUGAGAUUUUUUUAUUUCAGUUGAAUGUGAUGGCACAGCUGAAUCUUAUAUGUUUGUUUUAGUUGAAUGGGACACUUUUUUUCAGCUAAAUGUGAC
rnacentral:lncRNA from 1 species